GAUUUCUCUACAAGAAGAAAGACAAAUCAUAGAAAUUGGCAGGCUGCAUGGUGAUCCAGUUGAGAAAAGAAUGUGACUGCACCAUACUUCUGCUAAGAGUCUUGCUAAUUCACUCAACAAGGGAUAUCCCAAAUGUGUGGAAAAAGAGCCAGGCAUCCCAUUCUAGAUUUGAUGUGGAUGACAGGUUUGACAGGAAGAAUAUGAUUUACAGAUUGAAGAAUAGGAUAUCAAAUUUGUUGAGAGAAGUCUAUUGGCAUUUCACUUCACUUGUCAGGCUGCAUAUAAAGGCAAAGAUUGGAGAUCUACAAGUGAAAAGAAAUAUUUCAACAGACAAUGCCUGGUACUUUGAAUCUGAUCACUUUACAAACAAGCAGAUGCUUUCUCUAUUGUACGGAUGA
rnacentral:lncRNA from 1 species